rnacentral:rRNA from 1 species
AGUGAACGCUGGCGGUAGGCCUAACACAUGCAAGUCGAACGGCAGCACAGUAAGAGCUUGCUCUUACGGGUGGCGAGUGGCGGACGGGUGAGGAAUACAUCGGAAUCUACUUUUUCGUGGGGGAUAACGUAGGGAAACUUACGCUAAUACCGCAUACGACCUACGGGUGAAAGCAGGGGAUCUUCGGACCUUGCGCGAUUGAAUGAGCCGAUGUCGGAUUAGCUAGUUGGCGGGGUAAAGGCCCACCAAGGCGACGAUCCGUAGCUGGUCUGAGAGGAUGAUCGGCCACAUUGGAACUGAGACACGGUCCAGAGUCCUACGGGAGGCAGCAGUGGGGAAUAUUGGACAAUGGGCGCAAGCCUGAUCCAGCCAUACCGCGUGGGUGAAGAAGGCCUUCGGGUUGUAAAGCCCUUUUGUUGGGAAAGAAAAGCAGCAGGUUAAUACCCCGCGGUUCUGACGGUACCCAAAGAAUAAGCACCGGCUAACUUCGUG